UACGUAGGGUGCGAGCGUUGUCCGGAAUUAUUGGGCGUAAAGGGCUCGUAGGCGGUUUGUCGCGUCGGGAGUGAAAACCCAGGGCUUAACUCUGGGCUUGCUUUCGAUACGGGCAGACUAGAGGUAUGUAGGGGAGAACGGAAUUCCUGGUGUAGCGGUGAAAUGCGCAGAUAUCAGGAGGAACACCGGUGGCGAAGGCGGUUCUCUGGGCAUUACCUGACGCUGAGGAGCGAAAGUGUGGGGAGCGAACAGG
rnacentral:rRNA from 1 species